AGGAAAAGCUCAGGGCAGUGAAUCACAUUUUGCUCCAAAAAACAAACCCUGGGCUGAAGGAUGGAGAAGUGGCCACAAGCUUCACUGGCCAUCUUAUGGCUUCAACUGAGCUGGGUGUACAGUGAUGACAAGGUACUACAGAGCCCCCCAUCCCUGGAAGUCCACGAGGGAGACAAUGCAACUCUCCACUGCCGUUACGAAGUGGCUAGCUUCCAAGGCCUAUAUUGGUAUAAACAGAAAGAGAAAGCUACCAUAUUUCUGUGUAGGCUAAUUACAAGUGAUUUUGAUUCAGGAAAAAUAAAAGGCACCAUAGACAAGACAGAACGUCUCAGCACCCUGCAUAUCACAGCCACCCAGAUGGACGACUCAGCUACCUACCUCUGUGCACUGGAGGCACAGUGCUCUCUAGUCACCUGCAGCCCAUACCAAAAUGCUACAGCUGAGCAUCCUGCAACUGUUAGAUGGAGAACUUGCUAA